GCCAGUCGUGAUAGAAUAUUGAAUGCACCAGUUUUCAAUGGAUCACUGAUGUUAAGCAACGUGGUUAGUAUCCAGAUGGGUGACCAUCUGGCUGAUCGAUGCUGCUGGUU
rfam:Asian citrus Psyllid, Diaphorina citri - Florida Strain, whole genome shotgun sequence.